CAAAAACAUCGUCUAAAGACCUUAUUUUAGAUAGAACCUGCUCACUGAUUACCCACAUUAAAUAGCCGCAGUACACUAACUGUGCAAAGGUAGCAAAAUAAUUUGUCUUUUAAUUGAAGACUGGUAUGAAUGGUCUGACGAGGAAAUAUCUAUCUCAAAAUUUUAAUUUUAAAUUAACAUAUAAGUAAAAAGGCUUAUAUACAUCAGCAAGACGACAAGACCCUAUAAAACUUAACCCUUUAAUUUACAAAAAUCUCAGAAAAAAAUAAAAUAAAGAAAAGGUUUAACUGGGGCGGUAUUUAUAUAAUAUAUAACUAUACAUUUCACACCAUAUAUUAAUGAACCAAUAAAUCUUACAUAAAACCUAAAAAAAAGUUACUUUAGGGAUAACAGCAUAAUACUCUUAGAGAGUCCAAAUCGACAAGAGUGAUUAUGACCUCGAUGUUGAAUUGGGAAAUCAUCCAAAAGCAGCCAUUUGGAAAAGAGAGUCUGUUCGACUCUUAAACUCCCACGUGAUCUGA
rnacentral:rRNA from 1 species